CCCUUAGAUGUUCUAGGCCGCACGCGCGCUACACUGAUGCAUUCAACGAGUCUAAAACCUGCUCUGAUAGGGGUGGGUAAUCUUUUGAAUGUGCAUCGUGAUUGGGAUAGAUGAUUGCAAUUUUUCAUCUUCAACGAGGAAUGCCUAGUAAACGCAAGUCAUCAGCUUGCAUUGAUUACGUCCCUGCCCUUUGUACACACCGCCCGUCGCUCCUACCGAUUGAAUGAUCCGAUGAAUAUCAUGGAUUGAGGAUGCAAGCAGGUUCGCCUGUCUUCAUCUUCGAGAAGUGAAGUAAAUCUUAUCAUUUAGAGGAAGGAGAAGUCGUAACA
rnacentral:rRNA from 1 species